rnacentral:rRNA from 1 species
AUUGAACGCUGGCGGCAGGCCUAACACAUGCAAGUCGAGCGGAUGAAGGGAGCUUGCUCCUGGAUUCAGCGGCGGACGGGUGAGUAAUGCCUAGGAAUCUGCCUGGUAGUGGGGGAUAACGUCCGGAAACGGGCGCUAAUACCGCAUACGUCCUGAGGGAGAAAGUGGGGGAUCUUCGGACCUCACGCUAUCAGAUGAGCCUAGGUCGGAUUAGCUAGUUGGUGGGGUAAAGGCCUACCAAGGCGACGAUCCGUAACUGGUCUGAGAGGAUGAUCAGUCACACUGGAACUGAGACACGGUCCAGACUCCUACGGUAGGCAGCAGUGGGGAAUAUUGGACAAUGGGCGAAAGCCUGAUCCAGCCAUGCCGCGUGUGUGAAGAAGGUCUUCGGAUUGUAAAGCACUUUAAGUUGGGAGGAAGGGCAGUAAGUUAAUACCUUGCUGUUUUGACGUUACCAACAGAAUAAGAACCGGCUAACUUUGUG